AACCAGCACCUCAAGUGGUCAGGAUGAUUAUUGGGCCUAAAGCAUCCGUAGCCUGCUUUGUAAGUUCUCGGUUAAAUCCAUGCGCUUAACGUAUGGGCUGCCGGCAAUACUGCAUAGCUAGGGAGUGGGAGAGGUAGACGGUACUCGGUAGGAAGGGGUAAAAUCCUUUGAUCUAUUGAUGACCACCUGUGGCGAAGGCGGUCUACCAGAACACAUCCGACGGUGAGGGAUGAAAGCUGGGGGAGCAAACCGGAUUAGAUACCCGGGUAGUCCCAGCUGUAAACUAUGCAAACUCAGUGAUGCAUUGGCUUGUGGCCAAUGCAGUGCUGCAGGGAAGCCGUUAAGUUUGCCGCCUGGGAAGUACGUACGCAAGUAUGAAACUUAAAGGAAUUGGCGGGGGAGCACCACAAGGGGUGAAGCCUGCGGUUCAAUUGGAUUCAACGCCGGA
rnacentral:rRNA from 1 species